CAAUAGCGUAUACUAAUGUUGAUGCAGUUAAAAAGCUCGUAGUUGAACUUCUGGUAGGAGUGUCCCGGCCUUUUUGUUUUUACAAAUUGUAUGCUGUGUGACAUCUCUGGCCAUCCUUCUUCUUUGUUUAAAGAAGAUCUUUCACUGUAAAAAAAUUAGGGUGUUCAAAGCAAAAGUUUCUUUGGAAUAUAUUAGUAUGGGAUGAUAAGAUAGGCUCUAGAUGCUAUUUUGUUGGUUUGCACAUUUAGAGAAUGAUUAACAGGGACAGUUGGGGGUAUUCGUAUUUACAUGUCAGAGGUGAAAUUCUUGGAUUUUGGAAAGACGAACUACUGCGAAAGCAUUUACCAAGGAUGUUUUCAUUAA
rnacentral:rRNA from 1 species